AAAAGUUAGUUUUGGUGUAAGUUAGGUUUUUUCGAAAAAGUUAGUUUUGGUAUAAGUUAGGUUUUUUUAGAAAAAGUUAGUUUUGGUAUAAGUUAGGUUUUUUAGAAAAAGUUAGUUUUGGUAUA